rnacentral:tRNA from 1 species
GGCUUCGUGGUGUAGUGGUCAGCACGCUCGACGCGUAACCGAGAGGUCCGUGGUUCGAUUCCCGGCGAAGGCA